GGUGACGGACGUGGAGGGGGCGGCGGGGAGACGGGGGGGGCAAGCGUUGUCCGGAGUGAUUGGGGGGAAAGAGCGGGUAGGGGGCCAGGUAGGGCGGUUGUGAAAACUGGAGGCGCAACCUUCAGAGGUCGACCGAAACCAUCUGGCUAGAGGCCGGGAGAGGAGAGUGGAAUUCCUGGUGUAGCGGUGAAAUGCGCAGAUAUCAGGAAGAACACCCGUGGCGAAAGCGGCUCUCUGGAACGGUACUGACGCUGAGACGCGAAAGCGUGGGGAGCGAACAGGAUUAGAUACCCGGUAGUC
rnacentral:rRNA from 1 species